rnacentral:rRNA from 1 species
UACGGGGGGGGCAAGCGUUGUUCGGAAUUACUGGGCGUAAAGGGCUCGUAGGCGGCCAACUAAGUCAUACGUGAAAUCCCUCGGCUUAACCGGGGAACUGCGUCUGAUACUGGAUGGCUUGAGUUCGGGAGAGGGAUGCGGAAUUCCAGGUGUAGCGGUGAAAUGCGUAGAUAUCUGGAGGAACACCGGUGGCGAAGGCGGCAUCCUGGACCGAUACUGACGCUGAGGAGCGAAAGCUAGGGGAGCGAACGGG